rnacentral:rRNA from 1 species
UGGGGAAUAUUGGACAAUGGGCGCAAGCCUGAUCCAGCCAUGCCGCGUGAGUGAUGAAGGCCUUAGGGUUGUAAAGCUCGUUUCGCCGACGAAGAUAAUGACGGUAGUCGGAGAAGAAGCCCCGGCUAACUUCGUCGCCAGCAGCCGNGGUAAUACGAAGGGGGCAGUANCGUUGUUCGGAAUCACUGGGCGUAAAGCGCACGUAGGCGGAUUGUUAAGUCAGGGGUGAAAGCCUGGAGCUCAACUCCAGAACUGCCCUUGAUACUGGCAAUCUCGAGUCCGGAAGAGGUAAGUGGAACUGCGAGUGUAGAGGUGAAAUUCGUAGAUAUUCGCAAGAACACCAGUGGCGAAGGCGGCUUACUGGUCCGGUACUGACGCUGAGGUGCG